rnacentral:misc_RNA from 1 species
UACAAGCAUCAUUGCUACAGC